rnacentral:lncRNA from 1 species
UUAUAAGGCUGUUGUUUUAGCAGCCAAUCAUUUUGGAAGGUUUUUCACUGGUCAGAUCACAGCUGCUGGAAAAGUCCCCCCAGCGAAGAAGAGGGCACCAGAUCUCACUGUAGAUGAUUAUGAGCCACCACAUGGUUGCUAGGAAUUGAACCGAGAACCUCUAGAAGAGCAGUCAGUGCUGUUAACCUCUCAGCUCUCUCUUCAGCCCCACUUCCAGUGUUUUUUAAUGAGACAAAUUGAAGGCGUCAUUAAAUAUGGUUAUUUUUAAAUGUCUUGCUGGGUGAUAGCCUUGCUGAUGUUAAUAUACUUAGAAAUUUAAAGUGACGUUUUAGAGCUGAACAUUGAAUAUUGCUUG